rnacentral:rRNA from 1 species
CGGUGAAGCCAAGCUUGCUUGGUGGAUCAGUGGCGAACGGGUGAGUAACACGUGAGCAACCUGCCCUGGACUCUGGGAUAAGCGCUGGAAACGGCGUCUAAUACUGGAUAUGAGCUCUCAUCGCAUGGUGGGGGUUGGAAAGAUUUUUCGGUCUGGGAUGGGCUCGCGGCCUAUCAGCUUGUUGGUGAGGUAAUGGCUCACCAAGGCGUCGACGGGUAGCCGGCCUGAGAGGGUGACCGGCCACACUGGGACUGAGACACGGCCCAGACUCCUACGGGAGGCAGCAGUGGGGAAUAUUGCACAAUGGGCGGAAGCCUGAUGCAGCAACGCCGCGUGAGGGAUGACGGCCUUCGGGUUGUAAACCUCUUUUAGCAGGGAAGAAGCGAGAGUGACGGUACCUGCAGAAAAAGCGCCGGCUAACUACGUGCCAGCAGCCGCGGUAAUACGUAGGGCGCAAGCGUUAUCCGGAAUUAUUGGGCGUAAAGAGCUCGUAGGCGGUUUGUCGCGUCUGCUGUGAAAUCCCGAGGCUCAACCUCGGGCCUGCAGUGGGUACGGGCAGACUAGAGUGCGGUAGGGGAGAUUGGAAUUCCUGGUGUAGCGGUGGAAUGCGCAGAUAUCAGGAGGAACACCGAUGGCGAAGGCAGAUCUCUGGGCCGUAACUGACGCUGAGGAGCGAAAGGGUGGGGAGCAAACAGGCUUAGAUACCCUGGUAGUCCACCCCGUAAACGUUGGGAACUAGUUGUGGGGACCAUUCCACGGUUUCCGUGACGCAGCUAACGCAUUAAGUUCCCCGCCUGGGGAGUACGGCCGCAAGGCUAAAACUCAAAGGAAUUGACGGGGACCCGCACAAGCGGCGGAGCAUGCGGAUUAAUUCGAUGCAACGCGAAGAACCUUACCAAGGCUUGACAUACACCAGAACACCGUAGAAAUACGGGACUCUUUGGACACUGGUGAACAGGUGGUGCAUGGUUGUCGUCAGCUCGUGUCGUGAGAUGUUGGGUUAAGUCCCGCAACGAGCGCAACCCUCGUUCUAUGUUGCCAGCACGUAAUGGUGGGAACUCAUGGGAUACUGCCGGGGUCAACUCGGAGGAAGGUGGGGAUGACGUCAAAUCAUCAUGCCCCUUAUGUCUUGGGCUUCACGCAUGCUACAAUGGCCGGUACAAAGGGCUGCAAUACCGUGAGGUGGAGCGAAUCCCAAAAAGCCGGUCCCAGUUCGGAUUGAGGUCUGCAACUCGACCUCAUGAAGUCGGAGUCGCUAGUAAUCGCAGAUCAGCAACGCUGCGGUGAAUACGUUCCCGGGUCUUGUACACACCGCCCGUCAAGUCAUGAAAGUCGGUAACACCUGAAGCCGGUGGCCCAACCCUUGUGGAGGGAG